rnacentral:rRNA from 1 species
UUUUGGUCUUUGUAAAUUGGAAUGAUGGGAAUCUAAACCCCUUCCAGAGUAUCAAUUGGAGGGCAAGUCUGGUGCCAGCAGCCGCGGUAAUUCCAGCUCCAAUAGCGUAUAUUAAACUUGUUGCAGUUAAAAAGCUCGUAGUUGAAUUUCUGCUGUUUCGUUGACUGCGUUUGGCGUUUGUCAUCGUUGCGGCUUGGUUGGGUUUCGAUUAUUCGUUUCCCGGCGUUUACUUUGAGAAAAUUAGAGUGCUUGAAGCAGGCUUUUGCCUUGAAUACUUUAGCAUGGAAUAACGGAGUAGGACUUUGGUUCUAUUUUGUUGGUUUUAGGAGCCAGAGUAAUGGUUAAUAGGAACAGUUGGGGGCAUUCGUAUUUGACUGUCAGAGGUGAAAUUCUUAGAUUUGUCAAAGACGAACUACUGCGAAAGCAUUUGCCAAGGAUGUUUUCAUUAAUCAAGAACGAAAGUUAUGGGUAUCUGAAGACGAUCAGACAUCGUUUUAGUCUUAACCAUAAUGUGCUGGUAGAAGUGAAUGCU